rnacentral:rRNA from 1 species
GACGAACGCUGGCGGCGUGCUUAACACAUGCAAGUCGAACGGAAAGGCCCUGCUUUUGUGGGGUGCUCGAGUGGCGAACGGGUGAGUAACACGUGAGUAACCUGCCCUUGACUUUGGGAUAACUUCAGGCAACUGGGGCUAAUACCGGAUAGGAGCUCCUGCUGCAUGGUGGGGGUUGGAAAGUUUCGGCGGUUGGGGAUGGACUCGCGGCUUAUCAGCUUGUUGGUGGGGUAGUGGCUUACCAAGGCUUUGACGGGUAGCCGGCCUGAGAGGGUGACCGGCCACAUUGGGACUGAGAGACGGCCCAGACUCCUACGGGAGGCAGCAGUGGGGAAUAUUGCACAAUGGGCGGAAGCCUGAUGCAGCAACGCCGCGUGCGGGAUGACGGCCUUCGGGUUGUAAACCGCUUUCGCCUGUGACGAAGCGUGAGUGACGGUAAUGGGUAAAGAAGCACCGGCUAACUACGUG